CCACCGCUGAGCGCCGGGGGAUCUGUGUCCCUUCUGAAAAUGAGCUCGGUGUCUUCAGAAGUGUUUAAAGACCCACAAGUAUAUAAAUUAUGCUUUAUAUUCCCAAACGGAGACAAAUAUGAGGGUGACUGUACAAGGAUAUCUCCUGGAGUCUUUGAGAGAAAUGGAGCAGGGGUUCACACCACCCCCAAUGGAAUAAUUUAUACCGGAGCCUGGAAAG